UACGUAGGCAGCAAGCGUUGUUCGGAGUUACUGGGCGUAAAGGGUGCGUAGGUGGCUCUAUAAGUAUGGUGUGAAAUCUCCCGGCUUAACUGGGAGGGUGCGCCGUAGACUGUGGGGCUAGAGUGUGGGAGAGGAAAGUGGAAUUCCUGGUGUAGCGGUGAAAUGCGUAGAUAUCAGGAGGAACACCGGUGGUGUAAACGCUUUCUGGACCAUAAACUG
rnacentral:rRNA from 1 species